UAUGUAGGGGGCAAGCGUUGUCCGGAUUUAUUGGGCGUAAAGAGCGUGUAGGCGGCCAAGCAGGUCCGCUGUGAAAACUCGAGGCUCAACCUCGAGAGGUCGGUGGAAACCGUCUGGCUAGAGUCCGGAAGAGGAGAGUGGAAUUCCCGGUGUAGCGGUGAAAUGCGCAGAUAUCAGGAAGAACACCCGUGGCGAAGGCGGCUCUCUGGUACGUGACUGACGCUGAGACGCGAAAGCGUGGGGAGCAAACAGG
rnacentral:rRNA from 1 species